UUCUUUCAUGCAGAGCUGGAGGGGAGGCAAGAUGUUGGCAUAGCUGUUAACCUAAAAACCUGCUAUGCCAACAUAUUGUCAUCUUUCCUGUCUG
ensembl:miRNA gga-mir-31 gga-mir-31